UCAGUGAAUGGUCCGGGUGCGACUGGGGGGGUGGGGGAGCCCGGCCGCCGGGGGGGGGGGGGAAGGCAGCGCCUGGGGAGCCGGAGUGAGAGGAGUCCCAGCCCUCCGUGCCGCCUGGCACCGGGGAUUACCAGCCUGGGGAGCCUGCAGAGCCGCAGCACUGAAGUUGCAAGGGGCAGGCGGGAAUAGAUAAUUGGUACCACCGUAGGGAGCCUGCCUCUGUUAGGAUCAGGAGCAAAAGAUCGCGGUCACUCAUUCUGAGAUACAACUGGAACUCUCUCCUUUGCAAACAGUUUUUUCUCUUUUCUCCUUCAAAAGGUAUAUUAACCCUAAACCCUCUCAAGCUCGUUAGUCUUCUGUUUUCUUAGAUUCUACUGUUUAGAGACAGUUCUAAGUGGUUUUACAAUUUUGUCACUUCAGACUGGACUGGCUGAUCUCUGCCACUGAUGCCUUCAGGAACAUCAUUUUAGAUAUUGUGUGAUGUAGGGGUUCCUCGUUUUCCCGCAUACUGCUGGACACAGUCUCUAAGGUGGUGAUCUAUUUGUAUCUUGACUGUGAUUAAGGGAAUGUGUGGAAGACCGACAGAUUUUUCAGGCCUUGUCCACACUUAAAUUUGCACUGAUUUAAGUAAAGGUAUGAUUUUUAAAGCACUUUGUUAAACAGAU
rnacentral:lncRNA from 1 species